rnacentral:rRNA from 1 species
AUUGAACGCUGGCGGCAUGCUUUACACAUGCAAGUCGAACGGUAACAGGCCUUCGGGUGCUGACGAGUGGCGAACGGGUGAGUAAUGCAUCGGAACGUACCCAGAGGUGGGGGAUAACGCAGCUAAAGCUGUGCUAAUACCGCAUGUGAUCUGAGGAUGAAAGCGGGGGACCGAGCAGCAAUGUUUGGCCUCGCGCCUUUGGAGCGGCCGAUGUCGGAUUAGCUAGUUGGUGGGGUAAAGGCCUACCAAGGCGACGAUCCGUAGCUGGUCUGAGAGGACGACAAGCCACACUGGGACUGAGACACGGCCCAGACUCCUACGGGAGGCAGCAGUGGGGAAUUUUGGACAAUGGGCGCAGGCAUGAUCCAGCAGUGCCGCGUGCGGGAAGAAGGCCUUCGGGUUGUAAACCGCUUUUGGCAGGAACGAAACGGUGUCCGCUAAUACCGGGCGCUAAUGACGGUACCUGCAGAAUAAGCACCGGCUAACUACGUG